GAUGUUAGCGGCGGACGGGUGAGUAACACGUGGGUAACCUGCCUGUAAGACUGGGAUAACUCCGGGAAACCGGAGCUAAUACCGGAUAGUUCCUUGAACCGCAUGGUUCAAGGAUGAAAGACGGUUUCGGCUGUCACUUACAGAUGGACCCGCGGCGCAUUAGCUAGUUGGUGGGGUAAUGGCUCACCAAGGCGACGAUGCGUAGCCGACCUGAGAGGGUGAUCGGCCACACUGGGACUGAGACACGGCCCAGACUCCUACGGGAGGCAGCAGUAGGGAAUCUUCCGCAAUGGACGAAAGUCUGACGGAGCAACGCCGCGUGAGUGAUGAAGGUUUUCGGAUCGUAAAGCUCUGUUGUUAGGGAAGAACAAGUGCGAGAGUAACUGCUCGCACCUUGACGGUACCUAACCAGAAAGCCACGGCUAACUACGUGCCAGCAGCCGCGGUAAUACGUAGGUGGCAAGCGUUGUCCGGAAUUAUUGGGCGUAAAGGGCUCGCAGGCGGUUUCUUAAGUCUGAUGUGAAAGCCCCCGGCUCAACCGGGGAGGGUCAUUGGAAACUGGGAAACUUGAGUGCAGAAGAGGAGAGUGGAAUUCCACGUGUAGCGGUGAAAUGCGUAGAGAUGUGGAGGAACACCAGUGGCGAAGGCGACUCUCUGGUCUGUAACUGACG
rnacentral:rRNA from 4 species